rnacentral:rRNA from 1 species
AAUGGGCGCAAGCCUGAUGCAGCCAUGCCGCGUGUGUGAAGAAGGCCUUAGGGUUGUAAAGCACUUUCAGUAAGGAGGAAAGGUUAGUAGUUAAUACCUGCUAGCUGUGACGUUACUUACAGAAGAAGCACCGGCUAACUCCGUGCCAGCAGCCGCGGUAAUACGGAGGGUGCGAGCGUUAAUCGGAAUUACUGGGCGUAAAGCGUACGCAGGCGGUUUGUUAAGCGAGAUGUGAAAGCCCCGGGCUCAACCUGGGAACUGCAUUUCGAACUGGCAAACUAGAGUAUGAUAGAGGGUGGUAGAAUUUCAGGUGUAGCGGUGAAAUGCGUAGAGAUCUGAAGGAAUACCGAUGGCGAAGGCAGCCACCUGGGUCAAUACUGACGCUCAUGUACGAAAGCGUGGGGAGCAAACGGGAUU